GACGAACGCUGGCGGCGUGCUUAACACAUGCAAGUCGAGCGGUAAGGCCCUUUCGGGGGUACACGAGCGGCGAACGGGUGGGUAACACGUGGGUGACCUGCCCUCAGCUCUGGGAUAAGCCUGGGAAACCGGGUCUAAUACCGGAUAUGACUCCAUGACGCAUGUUGUGGGGUGGAAAGCCUUGUGCGGCUGAGGAUGGGCCCGCGGCCUAUCAGCCUGUUGGUGGGGUGAUGGCCACCAAGGCGACGACGGGUAGCCGGCCUGAGAGGGCGACCGGCCACACUGGGACUGAGACACGGCCCAGACUCCUACGGGAGGCAGCAGUGGGGAAUCUUGCGCAAUGGGCGAAAGCCUGACGCAGCGACGCC
rnacentral:rRNA from 1 species